GGCUGGUCCGAGUGCAGUGGUGUUUACAACUAAUUGAUCACAACCAGUUACAGAUUUCUUUGUCCCCUCUCCACUCCCACUGCUUCACUUGACUAGCCUUAA
ensembl:misc_RNA Y_RNA Y RNA